rnacentral:rRNA from 1 species
GACGAACGCUGGCGGCGUGCCUAAUACAUGCAAGUAGAACGCACAGUUUAUACCGUAGCUUGCUACACCAUAAACUGUGAGUUGCGAACGGGUGAGUAACGCGUAGGUAACCUGCCUGGUAGCGGGGGAUAACUAUUGGAAACGAUAGCUAAUACCGCAUAAUAUUGAUUAUUGCAUGAUAAUUGAUUGAAAGAUGCUAUUGCAUCACUACCAGAUGGACCUGCGUUGUAUUAGCUAGUAGGUGAGGUAACGGCUCACCUAGGCGACGAUACAUAGCCGACCUGAGAGGGUGAUCGGCCACACUGGGACUGAGACACGGGCCAGACUCCUACGGGAGGCAGCAGUAGGGAAUCUUCGGCAAUGGACGAAAGUCUGACCGAGCAACGCCGCGUGAGGGAAGAAGGGUUUCGGAUCGGAAAGCUCUGUUGUAAGAGAAGAACGGGUGUGAGAGUGGAAAGUUCACACUGUGACGGUAUCUUACCAGAAAGGGACGGCUAACUACGUG